CUGACUUCUAGGUCAUUUGACUAGUCAAGUUAAACAAAGACACAGGAGAGCAGGAAGGGCGAGGGCUCUGAAGGCAGCUGGGCCUCAUCUAUACGCUGCCUCUGCCUCUGUCAGCCAGGCAUCUGUAACCAAGGCCAAAAACGCCUUAUUUCAGGGUUAUUGUGAGGACGAGAGUUCUUUUGUGGAAAGCCAGGGAGCUAUUAAUCCUCCAGCCCUGGUUGUUCACCAAGCUCCUCAUGGAUUCGCACCUCGAGUUUUCACCUCCUUCUGCCUCCACGAGGUUCCGAAACAUCACACAAAGAUGGCUCUCACUGCCUGCGGCA